AUUUAGUAUGGUCACGUGCCAAGUUGUUUCAACUAAUGAAUAUUGAAUUGCACGUCUUAAGUGAUGGCCAGAACUUGGUAUAUCAAUGUCAAUUCAUAAAAAUGAUGUAGAGGCAGUGGCAGAUUGUCGAAGGAGAGUAAUCUUACUUCAGGCUUCUUUGAGCUGUAUUGAAGUGUGUGGAUUAGACAAAUCUCCUUUACGGGAAUCAUGAAAGAGUUUUCCUCUCACACAGUCACGACUAGGAGAGCAUUCUGAUGUAGAAUCAGGCGAUAAUUCUGAUACAGGGUAAACAAAACAAUCUAAUAAAAAAACACGACAGUGUGCAAAUCCAGAGAAAGGGCCAAGUAAUUUUAAUUCUAAAUACCAUUUGCAAAGAAAAUAAGUAAGGACAUAAUUCUUGCUUUGAAACUGUACAAAAAGUCUGCAAAGGUAUCAAAUGCAUACAUUUUUAUUCUGUUUAUUGAAAACACCUGGCUUUAUAGUUUUUUUUAUCUUUUAUGGAAGUUUUAAUGUUAAUGGAUUCAUCAUGAUCAUAAAAUGAGUAAAUGUGAUUUUUAAAAAUCACUCAUACACAGAAACUAUUUAAAGAUUUCGUCAAAUGUAACUUUAUUAAUGAUUGAUUAGAUAGCAAAGUAACUAUUAA